rnacentral:rRNA from 1 species
CCUACGGGAGGCUGCAGUGGGGAAUAUUGGACAAUGGGGGCAACCCUGAUCCAGCCAUGCCGCGUGUGUGAAGAAGGCCCUCGGGUUGUAAAGCACUUUCAGUGACGAAGAACGCCUGGUGGUUAAUACCCAUCAGGAAAGACAUCACUCACAGAAGAAGCACCGGCUAACUCCGUGCCAGCAGCCGCGGUAAUACGGAGGGUGCGAGCGUUAAUCGGAAUUACUGGGCGUAAAGCGCGCGUAGGUGGCUUGAUAAGCCGGUUGUGAAAGCCCCGGGCUCAACCUGGGAACGGCAUCCGGAACUGUCAAGCUAGAGUGCAGGAGAGGAAGGUAGAAUUCCCGGUGUAGCGGUGAAAUGCGUAGAGAUCGGGAGGAAUACCAGUGGCGAAGGCGGCCUUCUGGACUGACACUGACACUGAGGUGCGAAAGCGUGGGUAGCAAACAGGAUUAGAUACCCCUGUAGUC